rnacentral:rRNA from 1 species
GACGUAGGGCGCGGGCGUUGUCCGGAUUUAUUGGGCGUAAAGAGCACGUAGGCGGCUUGUCGCGUCGAAUGUGAAAACCCUCAGCUCAACUGUGGGCUUGCAUUCGAUACGGGCAGGCUAGAGUUCGGUAGGGGAGACUGGAAUUCCUGGUGUAGCGGUGAAAUGCGCAGAUAUCAGGAGGAACACCGGUGGCGAAGGCGGGUCUCUGGGCCGAUACUGACGCUGAGGAGCGAAAGCGUGGGGAGCAAACAGG